rnacentral:rRNA from 1 species
UGUAACCUACCUUUAUCAGGGGGAUAGCCUCUCGAAAGAGAGAUUAAGCCCGCAUAACAUCACAUUAUGGCAUCAUGAAGUGAUCAAAUAUUUAUAGGAUAAAGAUGGGCAUGCGGAACAUUAGCUAGUUGGUAAGGUAAUGGCUUACCAAGGCUACGAUGUUUAGGGGAUCUGAGAGGAUGACCCCCCACACUGGUACUGAGACACGGACCAG